rnacentral:rRNA from 1 species
UACAGAGGGUGCGAGCGUUAAUCGGAAUUACUGGGCGUAAAGGGUGCGUAGGUGGUUAUAUGAGUUAGGUGUGAAAUUCCUGGGCUUAACCUGGGGACUGUGCUUAAUACUGUAUGACUAGAGUUUUGUAGAGGAAGGUGGAAUUUCCGGUGUAGCGGUGAAAUGCGUAGAUAUCGGAAGGAACAUCAGUGGCGAAGGCGACCUUCUGGACAAAGACUGACACUGAGGCACGAAAGCAUGGGUAGCAAACAGG